GAUGAAGAACGUAGCGAAAUGCGAUACGUAAUGUGAAUUGCAGAAUUCAGUGAAUCAUCGAAUCUUUGAACGCACAUUGUGCCCGCCAGCACUCUGGCGGGCAUGCCUGUUCGAGCGUCAUUUCAACCAUCAAGCCCCAGGCUUGCGUUGGAGCCCUGCGGCUGCCGCAGCCUCCUAAAAGCAGUGGCGGGCUCGCUAUCACACCGAGUGCAAUAGAUUACUCUUCGCUCAGGGCGUGCAGCGGGUUCCGGCCGUGAAACCCCCUACUUUUAAAGGUUGACCUCGGAUCAGGUAGGAAUACCCGCUGAACUUAAGCAUAUCAAUAAGCGGAGGA
rnacentral:misc_RNA from 1 species